rnacentral:rRNA from 1 species
AUUCGGUUGAUCCUGCCGGAGGUCAUUGCUAUUGGAGUCCGAUUUAGCCAUGCUAGUCGUACGAAUUUAGAUUCGUGGCGGAUAGCUCAGUAACACGUGGCCAAACUACCCUGUCGAGCCCGAUAACCUCGGGAAACUGAGGCUAAUAGCGCAUACGGCUCUAUGCCUGGAACUGGCUCGAGCUCGAAAUGCUCAGGCGCGACAGGAUGUGGCUGCGGCCGAUUAGGUUGGCGGUGGGGUAACGGCCCACCGUGCCAAUAAUCGGUACGGGUUGUGAGAGCAAGAGCCCGGAGACGGAAUCUGAGACAAGAUUCCGGGCCCUACGGGGCGCAGCAGGCGCGAAACCUUUACACUGCACGACAGUGCGAUAGGGGGACUCCAAGUGCGAGGGCAUAUAGUCCUCGCUUUUUCCUACCGUAAGGUGGUAGGCGAAUAAGGGCUGGGCAAGACCGGUGCCAGCCGCCGCGGUAAUACCGGCAGCCCAAGUGAUGACCGCUAUUAUUGGGCCUAAAGCGUCCGUAGCUACUUUCCC